UACGUAGGGUCCGAGCGUUGUCCGGAAUUAUUGGGCGUAAAGGGCUCGUAGGCGGUUCGUCACGUCGGGAGUGAAAACUCGGAGCUUAACUCCGAGCCUGCUUCCGAUACGGGCAGACUAGAGGUAUGCAGGGGAGAACGGAAUUCCUGGUGUAGCGGUGAAAUGCGCAGAUAUCAGGAGGAACACCGGUGGCGAAGGCGGUUCUCUGGGCAUGAUCUGACGCUGAGGAGCGAAAGUGUGGGGAGCGAACAGG
rnacentral:rRNA from 1 species